CCCAAGAAUUCAAUUUUUGCUAAAAUCAAACUAAGUUUAAUUUUGGACCCUUUGGACCUUAAUGUAGACCAAUUUAAAAAACGGGACUUAAAAUUAAAAAUCUAAAUACACGGUUAGAUUUGGAAUAUCAAAGAACCCCAAUAAUUCAAUUUUAGAUGAAAUCAAACAAAGUUUAAUUUUGGACCCUAUUGACCUCAAUAUGAACCAAUUAGAUAACGGGGUCCACAAAUAAAAAAUCUAAAUACAUGGUUAGAUUCAGCAUAUCAAAGAACCCCAAAUAUUCAAUUUUUGUUGAAAUCAAACAAAGUUUAAUUUUGGACCCCAAUUUGGACCAACUUGAAAACUGGGCCAAAAAUCAAAAAUCUAAAUACAUGUUUAGAUUCAGCAUAUCAAAGAACCUCAUAUAUUCAAUUUUUGCUAAAAUCAAACAAAGUUUAAUUUUGGACCCUUUGGACAUUAAUGUAGACCAAUUUGAAAACUGGACCCAAAAUUAAAAAUCUAAAUACACUGUUAGAUUCGGCAUAACAAAUAAAUAAAUGUGAUCAAAGAUUUUACAAAUCUAAUGCGCCAUACUGUGCAAUUAAAGAUUACUUCUUGAAAUUUUUCAAUAUUUGAAAUUUGAAAAAAAAAUAAUAUUUGAAGAAUAAUUCUUUUUAAUUUCUGAAAUCUGAAAUGAGAAAAAAUUGGCCCCCCACAAUUUCUUUUUAUCCCCCCCCCCCCCUUUUUCCCCCAAAAAAAUUCUUUCCCUCAAGAUAUGGUCAUAAUCUCAAUUCAAAUUUCCAAUGGAGUUGGCAA